UACGGAGGAUGCGAGCGUUAUCCGGAUUUAUUGGGUUUAAAGGGUGCGUAGGCGGAAUAUCAAGUCAGCGGUAAAAAUUCGGGGCUCAACCCCGUCGUGCCGUUGAAACUGAUGUUCUUGAGUGGGCGAGAAGUAUGCGGAAUGCGUGGUGUAGCGGUGAAAUGCGUAGAUAUAAGGAAGAACACCAGUGGCGAAGGCGGAUGACUGGACGGCAACUGACGGUGAGGCGCGAAAGCGUGGGGAGCAAACAGG
rnacentral:rRNA from 1 species